rnacentral:lncRNA from 1 species
GCAUGUCUAGCAAAAUCGGUUGAUCUUCCCUGCAUUACAAGUACGGAUCUGUGCAUUUUCAUAGCAGAAAGAUUCAGUAGAUGAUUAACCAAGAAAAACAAUUAAACAGACAAAAGUAGCAUAGUGGAAAAAGAGGCAAUGGAACAUGGCAGAAAGAUUCAGUAGGUGACUAACCAAGAAAAACAAUUAAACAGACAAAGUAGCAAAGUGGAAAAAGAUGCAAUGGAACGUAUAGUGCCGUGCAUAUAUAAGCAUGUGAGUGUGUCUGUUAUUUUCGCAAUCCAAAUAAGUGGGAUAAUCUUGAUUUUCGUCUCAUAUAAACACAUAUAUCCUUCUAGUAAUUGUGUCAACUAAUUGAAUGAGAUUUGCUGUGGCUUCUACAACCUUUAACCCUUUCCAUUUGCUGCCAAGUCCAUUAAGACUCUUUUCUCAUCCUAACUUGUCACCAUUACAGCAUUGCAAGUUACUGCAACCUCAAGUUAUUUUAGGAAGGGGGAUGAGGAUUUGUAGUAUUCAGUACAAAGUAAUUGGCGUAAGGGAUGUUUGUGGAGGUUUGAGGAAUGGAUGGAAGGAACAAAAGACAUGAAAAGUCCAUGAUAUUGUUAAAACUUCUUUCCAAUACCUAUAGCAAAAGGACUAAAUAAACUUAUUGAAUGCAAUUUGAAG